rnacentral:rRNA from 1 species
CCCCUAGAUGUUCUGGGCCGCACGCGCGCUACACUGAACAGUUCAACAAGUCUUAACCUUGGCCGAUAGGUCUGGGUAAUCUUUGAACGCUGUUCGUGAUUGGGAUAGACUUUUGCAAUUUUUGGUCUUCAACGAGGAAUUCCUAGUAAACGCAAGUCAUCAACUUGCAUUGAUUACGUCCCUGCCCUUUGUACACACCGCCCGUCGCACCUACCGAUUGAAUGGUCCGGUGAAGCCUCCGGAUUGGCGUGCACCCUCGGGUGCUGCCGAGAAGUUGGCUAAACCUUACCAUUUAGAGGAAGGUGAAGUCGUAACA